CACCGCCCAAGAUCAAGUCCUGAAGUCCCCUUAGAAGGCGUCCCAGAGGGACCGGACCUGGGUAGGAAGGAGCCUUCUCUCUCCAGAGGUUAAACUGCAAACCACGACUCUCCCUCUCACCCCACCAUCUUCAAGGCUUCCUCCACGUGUGCUUUGGUGGUCUUCAUCCUCCCCAUAUGGGCGUCAGAGACACGUUUUGAAAGGACAUUUUGUGUUCCGACGAGCGCCCACUGGAAUGGUACCAGCCACCAAAGGCCGUGUUCCCAGAAGACACUGCGAGAUAAUGCUCAUUAUUUGUGUCUAUUGGGAAAGAAGAAACAGUCUUUAAAAAGAGCCGAAACCUGUUUUCCUUCCCAUUGGCCUAGCUCCGCCCGGUGGAGUUACCUGGGUCACAUCUAAUAACUGUUUUCCAGGUACAUAAAGCUAGAAGUCACAUAAGACUUGUCUUAAUAUCUGUGUGUCUUCAUCACUCCUCACGGGGUAUAGGAACUGGCCAUUUCCAAUGCUUGACCCCGAGUCAGUAUUCAUUUCUCUUGUGGAUCAAUGGCGCUCCAAGGUCAGAUGUAAACCUGAUUCUCCAGGUGUCUCCACACUGCAGAGCAGCAGGCGUUUGCACAAUUGUGAGAUCUCAUUUAUUUGUAGCGUGUCCAUGAGGCCAGAAAGAGUUGCUGCUAGUAAGGAGCCUGAUACAUUGAUGGUGCUAAAAAAAAAAAUUACUGAAGAAAUGUACAAAUAUAGUUUAAAUAAGGUUCCACCACCAGAACGUACUAUCCCAAAGAGAACAUUUUGCGGGAACAUUCUCAAUGAUCAGUUUGAAGGUUAUUCCUUUGGUGGGUCACCUGUGGUGUGGUCACUUGCCCCUUACCAUGGUGACGUUUUGCUGUCUCUCCAUCCCCAUAUUUUUCAAAGAAUAUAUAUGAGGAUUCAGAACUGCUUAAAAAAAAUGUGUUGCGCUCUUAGAUACCCUAAUGUGUGAAAAAUCUGCCUUAAUCAAACAAAUUAGGAAACGAUUACUCCCUGAGCCUGGCUUCUGUUGCCCAUGCAUUGAUUUAUAGACUAUUAAUUACUUGACAGAGAAGGCAAAUGUAGGAGACAUAUAGCCAAAGGAUGAGACACCAGUGUACCACUCUCAAUUUCAAAACAGAGAAAGUCGUCAUGGCAUUUCAGAGGCAGAAAGGUCUUUCCCAACAUGAUCAUCUCACAGAGGAGAAAACAGAGAGGCGGAGUGACCUGCACAAAGUCACACAGCUUUGCAGAAUGGGGCAAAGGAGCAUCUUGUGUCUCCCUGACACGCUGCUCCCUGAUAGAGCUGGUGGCAUUAAUCGGAGGGAACAGAAAUUUUGAUUUAACCCCACUUUUCAGGUUACUUCUGUGAUGCACUUAUCAAAUUACGAAGCAUCUUUCGUGCUCGUCUUCACUGUUGAUAUGUGUGGAAAUUAAUUACACAGAAGAGUGAAGAUGGCUCACCCAUCUCAGAGACUGACCAUGGCAAAUGACAAGCGAAAAAAGAUGGCGUCAUUACAGCGCUUUUGGCGUUGGUUAAUUUCCCAUGGAUUACCAUGCGGGGAGUUGAACGUGCCCCCCAUACCCCUUCAGGUUGGGGAUAGGCUAGUGCCAGUCUGUGGAAGGCUAUGCUCAGGGCCCUUGGGCAGUGACAAGCCUUUCAUUCUUCACUAUGAAUCUAUGGUGAUCCCAAGGGUGCCAGGUACUCCUGGCCCAGGCCUGGGUUUUCCAGAAACUUUCCUUAUUGAUACUUCACCUGAACAUGGUUCUGGAAGAAGUCCCCAAAAAAGAUGUUCCCGUGCUGUCUCUGUCCAAAUGCUGGCUGACACUUCCACAUUGUUUUUUUAAGUGUCAUGGAGGAAUGUAGCAUUUAUGGCCCUGUGAGCUGGCUAUCUGUGUCAUCUAAAAUAGAAAAUCUUCUCAAGUUGGGUGUAAACACAUCUCGAGGAGACUGGCACUCGCACUGCUGUGGCUGUGCAGGGACUGGAGCCAACCAGGAGUCACUAAGACCUUUCCUGCCCCUGGGUGGCUUUGUGGAGACCCUGUAGUGCCUUCCACAGCUAAAGCCCUUUGCACGGGACCUUAGGCAGGUGGACCUCUGGAAGUGUUAUCUGUAGAGAUAGCUGUGGGCAUGGAGAUUGAAGAUGAACAUCUCAACUAACUCGCAUAACAGCAAAAUGGAAAGCAUUGUGCUAACCUUUUUUAGAACAGCUGCAAAAUUUCCAACUUAUAUAAUGCACUCUUUAAACCUUUUUAAAAUUCAGAUAUAAUUACACGAGGCAGUGCAUCCAUCUUAAGUGUACAGUUCAAUGCGGUUUUGAUGAAUGCACACUACCAUAGCCAAUACCCCAAUCAAGACAUAGAGCCCUGCCACCCCCCCCAGAAAGUUCUUUGUUCUUCUUCUUAGUCAUCCACAAUACCCCGUUCCCCGCCCCCCCACCAAAGGCAACCAUGAUUCUAUCUCAUCAAUCAGUUUUGCCUGCUCUUGAACUUCAAAUGAAUGGGCUAAUUUGUGCUCUUUGUACACUUUUGUGCCUGGCUUAUGCAUUAUACUUUUGGGGCUCAUCCAUGGUUUUGUAUGUAUUAAUAGUUCCUUCUUUUUUCUUGUUAAGUAAUAUUACAUGGAAUGGAUAUAUAACGAUUUGUUUACCCAUUCUCCUUUUGAUGUAUUAUAUUUGGGUG